UACGUAGGGACCAAGCGUUGUUCGGAUUUACUGGGCGUAAAGGGCGCGUAGGCGGCGUGGUAAGUCACUUGUGAAAUCUCUGAGCUUAACUCAGAACGGCCAAGUGAUACUGCUGUGCUAGAGUGCAGAAGGGGCAAUCGGAAUUCUUGGUGUAGCGGUGAAAUGCGUAGAUAUCUGGAGGAACACCGGUGGCGAAGGCGGCAUCCUGGACCGGUAUUGACGCUGAGGCGCGAAAGCUAGGGGAGCAAACGGG
rnacentral:rRNA from 1 species